rnacentral:rRNA from 1 species
GACGAACGCUGGCGGCGUGCUUAACACAUGCAAGUCGAACGGAAAGACCCUGCUUUUGUGGGGUGCUCGAGUGGCGAACGGGUGAGUAACACGUGAGUAACCUGCCCUUGACUUUGGGAUAACUUCAGGAAACUGGGGCUAAUACCGGAUAGGAGCUCCUGCUGCAUGGUGGGGGUUGGAAAGUUUCGGCGGUUGGGGAUGGACUCGCGGCUUAUCAGCUUGUUGGUGGGGUAGUGGCUUACCAAGGCUUUGACGGGUUGCCGGCCUGAGAGGGUGACCGGCCACAUUGGGACUGAGAUACGGCCCAGACUCCUACGGGAGGCAGCAGUGGGGAAUAUUGCACAAUGGGCGGAAGCCUGAUGCAGCAACGCCGCGUGCGGGAUGACGGCCUUCGGGUUGUAAACCGCUUUCGCCUGUGACGAAGCGUGAGUGACGGUAAUGGGUAAAGAAGCACCGGCUAACUACGUG